rnacentral:rRNA from 1 species
UGAGAUUAUCAGAGGUCGCUGGAAUUCCUAGUGUAGCAGUGAAAUGCGUAGAUAUUAGGAAGAACACCAAUGGCGUAGGCAGGCGACUGGGGUAUUUCUGACGCUAAGGCACGAAAGCGUGGGGAGCGAACCGGAUUAGAUACCCGGGUAGUCCACGCCGUAAACGAUGGAUGCUAAUUGUUCGGGGUAUCGACCCCUUGAGUAAUAAAGCUAACGCGUUAAGCAUCCCGCCUGUGGAGUACGGCCGCAAGGCUAAAACAUAAAGGAAUUGACGGGGACCCGCACAAGCGGUGGAGGAUGU